rnacentral:rRNA from 1 species
UACAGAGGUCUCAAGCGUUGUUCGGAUUCAUUGGGCGUAAAGGGUGUGUAGGUGGCGCGCUAAGUCGGGUGUGAAAUUUCGGAGCUUAACUCCGAAACUGCAUUCGAUACUGGCGUGCUUGAGGACUGGAGAGGAGACUGGAAUUCCUGGUGUAGCGGUGAAAUGCGCAGAUAUCAGGAGGAACACCGAUGGCGAAGGCAGGUCUCUGGGCCAUAACUGACGCUGAGAAGCGAAAGCAUGGGGAGCGAACAGG